UUUCAUAAGGUUCAUGUGAAGAUACUGUGUAAAACUUGGAAGCAUUUUAUGCUUUAUUAGUACUGCCCAUAUUGUCUCACAUAUUCAUGUUGAAAUUUUUGGUCAACAUUUUAAACAAUUCAUUUUGUUAUCUCAAAAAACUUUUAAAACUAUCACAUAUUUCCUCAACUAUUCUAUUGAAGCAGCAUGUUAUAGAGGAAAAUUAAAAUAGGAUACUGGGAUUCCUCUGUAUAUGGACAAGUCACUUAACCUGAGCCUGAAUUUCAUCUAUAAAAUAGGUUUUUCUCAUAAGCUUCAAUUGUCUAUGACUAUAAAACCCUCCAACUACUUAUACCCAAAUGCCCUCAGAUCCAUUAACCAUUGUCAUUCACCCUUUAUAUAAUCUUAUUCUCCUUCCACAAAUUGGCUACCAUUUCUACUCUGCAGUUACUUCCCCCACCCAUCCUUUUAUUAACUAUCACCCUGGACUGAAAAGGAUAUUUAGGAGCUGCUGUUCCAGAUGCCUCCCUACCCCAACCCAUACACACAAAUAAUGCCAUACAAGAAUAUCACAUAAUAAACCUUGUAACCAUUUUCAAGUUCUAAAAUUCAUCAUCUAGGAGCUUUAUCUGAAAUUUGUUAAAGGUUUUCCCCCCUCCUCUGAUUUUUACAAAGUUUUUACAAAGUACAAAGCUCACAUAAUGUUGGAAUCAAGUAAAAUCUUAGAAACCAGAUAGUCUAAAACCCAAGGCACCUUUAACAAGUGGUCAUCAUAUCUCCCCAGGGUCUGAAGCUCACUAUAAAUUAACCCUUUCUAGACCCAUAGUACCAAUAUACAGUAUUCCACUUCUUAUUCCCUCAGAGGCCAACCCAACAAUUUUUCCUUUUGUUAUUAGUCUCAAGAUGUCUUUUAUAAACCAUUCCAUUUUCCUUACCACUCUCAUUUUUCUCAUUGUCCCUAUGUAUAUUAUCUCCAGGGCUUCACUUCUAAUGAUUCUUUCCCUUCAAAGAUAUAGUGCCCAUUACGAAUUUCUUUUCAUUUGCCCACCUCAAACUUCUUAUUUUCAAUUCUCCCCUUCCUCAUUCUGCUCAUAACUUUUCCAAGACAUUCUAUCACCAUCCUCUCAACUAUGAAAUAAGUUAAGCAGAAUGUGGAAUAAAGAGGUCUAUCUCACUUUUCUAACCCAAUCCCAAUCUGAAUUUCUAAGUUCUAAGGUAGGUAGAUCUCAGAAUAUAUACAACUAUAGAAUAGGACACAUCUUGGACAUCUAUUCCAGAAUGACUUUAAGUGAUCUAGCUCAGCCAAAGUCAAUCUUGCAUGAAAAAAGAUUCUAGUACUUCUUCCUGGUAAGAUCCAAAAGAAACUCAGCCUGUUAGGGUUCCUCUGGACAGCCUACAGAAUAACAAAGAGCAGGUCCUGAACACCUUAAACCAUCCAAGACUAGCAGAGACAUCUCUGAAUCAAUCCAAAUCCAGAUGUACACUUGCGCUUGCGCUGAUACAUUUUUCUUCUCAGCAAGUAGAAGAAUGCAGAGGAAAUCUCUGAGAAGUUAAAAAACUACUGACAUCCCUUUAUGUCAGAUACCUUUUCUGAUAUCCUGAUCAUCCCAAUAUGUGAACAUACCUGAAACUUCAGUUUCCUCACUGGCAAAAACAGGAAGGUGGACUAGAUGAUCUCUUAAAAUAGUCUUCCACUUCUAAAAUUUUAUUAAGUAAACCUUUCCCAAUCAACCCAUGUAACUUCAAAACAGAAUCUGGGACUUAAAUGUAUUGCUGUACAAUGUACUGGGCUUUUCCCUUUUGUCCUAAUUCUAGAAUGUCAACAUUCUAGUUAAUAUACCUUCUAGACCAGAUUUGCUGUUACCAGUUCUCUGCAUCAAAUUGGCAAUAUAAUACACAAUUAAGAUUCAAUAAAGUUCUCUAUUCUGGCAUUUUCCAUAAUAAUUUUCAGACUACUGAAAUGUUACUUUAAACUAGCUAAAAUUUCAAAACCAUAGCUUGUUGCCUUUAUUCCAGAACUAUCAUAAAGAUUCAGGUCCUCAGCCCUGAAGUCAGGAGGACCUGAGUUUAAAUCUGACCUUAGGCACAACACUUUCCUAGCUGUGUGACCUUGGGCAAGUCACUUAACCCCAAUUGCCUCAGCAAAAAAAUAAAAAAUAAAAAGAUUCAGGUCCAAUCUAGACCUAUCAAAUUGGCUUGUCAUCUUGGACCAAAUUAAAGCUCCAAGACCCAUUCCCACAGUGAGUCCAAAACACAGGCUAGAUCCAGCUAAUUAUUAGAUGAACAGAAUGACAAAAUAAGUGAGAAGUCUUAUCUGGGCUGAUGAUAAAUCAAGGUUAGAAUAGAAACUGGGUACUCUUCAAUUCUUCACUCUUAUUCAGUUACAUUUUUCUAUCCUACUUCUUUAACUCCAACAUUUAACACCUUCUGGGUCUUGGACAAUUUUUUUUUUUAAUAGACAUUCCUCUUAGCUAUUUCUUUCUCUCCUUUUCUAUAUAUUCUCCACACUGAGUAUCGCCUGAAUCCUAAUGACUCCAAGGAUACCUCUUCAUUCUUCCUUCCAUCAGGCAUUCCUCAAAGCUACUUUAUCUCCUCAAAUAUAACCUCUCCAACUUUGGUCCAUUCACUCAAUCAAUACUAUUUUGUACAUAGUAAGCAUCAGAUUGAUGACAACUAUUAAAAAAAUAAUGCCAAAUACUGUAGGGAUUCAUCCCCUCCCCAUCUAGCUCAUUCAAUCACAGCUUCCAUCCUUACACAUAUACCUUUGACACCCUCUCCCUUCCUGACAUUAUUCACACCUCAACUCCUCUUUCCCCUCUUUUCUAAGAAUUCCUUCAUCCCUCAGGUACCCUCUCCCCUUCACACCUUAAACAGGCCUUUCCCUCUUGAUAUUCCCUUCAUACAUUGGUUAUGUCCUUCCUUCUGGAUGGACAGUCCCAUCAAACCUCCUCUCCUCUCCUCGGAUACUCCCUCUUCACAGCGUAGAUAUUCCCUUCCUUCCCGGCAAUCUCUUCACACAUUGGAUAACACUACCCCUCUCUGGACGUUCCCUUCAUACCUCAAUUCCUUCAACCCCCAUCCCAAUCCUCGGACAUAAACUUCACACUUUCAAUAAUUCUACCCCUUCGGACAAGCCCUUCAUGGUUCUGAUAUGAAUUCCUUUCCCUCCAGAUAUCUGCUUCCCCCACUUCUGACAUCCUCUUGGCACCUCGGGUGUCCCCUCCCCUGCAGAUAGCACCCCCUCACACUCUCCUCACACCCUUUCUGCUGACAACUCCUGCCCACCUCCAGUGGUCUUGCAGCUACGUCCCUCGCACGGCCCCUCCUCUCCCAACAUUCCCUGCACCCCACAGAGCAGUCGAGAUGCAGACAUGCCCCGGCUAGAGCGCCGCCGCCGCCGCCGCUGCCAAAAUGCAUUAUGGGAAACCCCGCACGGGAAGCACUCCACGUCUUCCCUCCGCCCGCCCUGCUCCAGCAGUGAACCUUCCUCCCUGCUGAGUUCGGGGAAGGGAUGCCCGGGAACGAGCACGAGUACGCAAGCGCGCCUGGCGCGCGCUCCCCCUUGGUCGAUUCGCGAGCCUGAGGAUCCCAGAUGGAUCUUGCGCCUGCCCGGAUCGGAGAGCCAUUCUCUGGGCCGAGCUAGCGGCCUUUGGGAGAGAGACGUUGUGAGAGAGACCCUUGGUCUGAGCUGCAGCAAGGGAUCUCGCGCGGGGGGGAGAAAGCAUCGGAUUCCAUAAUUGAGGAUGCCAAGCCAGGAACAGGUUGAUGGGUGUAGCUAAGCGAGGGUGGCAGUACUGCCGCAUUUCUGUUCUACCCCCCAUGCCACCUGUGCCCGCAGAGGCAGCCCUUUGCCCUUGUCACUAGAAGGCCCUGGGUUGGCUGUAUCAUAGGCAGAUGAUAGUGAGUGAUAUUGCACCGAACUGCGUGCUCGCGGGAAGGGCAUUUCACCGCUGCUAGGUAGUGGGAUGUUUUUUAAGGAGAAGGGAGAGGGGGGACCUCUAUAUUUCUUUAGGUUCUAGAUCAGCCAACAUUGUGAAAAAUAAACAUUAGUAGUGACUGUAGGCAGAACCAGAUUUGCAUGGAGAGGCACCUGAAAUAAAUAUUUGUUGCAUUGACUUCUACCUCUUUCACUGGGGGCUGUUUUAGGGACAUCAGCACCCUCCAGAGGAUGAAGUCCUGUUCAAAUUCAUGAUCAUUAGAAUUUUUUAUUUAAUGCGUAUCUGUGCUGGAUAUUUAUAAAAAGGCUGUUGUGCCUAAGUGCAAAUUAAAGUUCUAGGAUAAAAGAAAAUUAGAAUUAGAAGGGGCCUAUUUUGCAUAUAAGAUCCAUAAAGGUAAAAGUGAUUUGCCCGAGAUCACACAUUAAGUGACUACCAGGAUUGGAUCCCACUUUGUUUAACUUCAAAUUCACUGCUUUUUCCAUCUUACCUGCCAAAGCUUUUCCUUCAACUCCAACAUUUAUUGUAUAGUAUGUUUUGUUUGACUGUUAAGCACAGGCACUUCUCUGCUUGUGAUUUUCCUAAAAAUGUUAAAUCAAGCUAGUGUUUGCAAAGUUAAGUUCAUUCCACCUUUUUUUUCUUGGAUAAUUGUUACCAAGUAGUGUGCAAAGUGGUUUAAGCCUACUGAUUGAUUAGGUUUAAUAUAGGAAUAGAUACCUAAGAAUAUUAGAUAAAGAAUACAUUAAACACUCCCCAUUGUUUUCCUUUUGAAAAAAAAUAUUACAGACAUAACCAUCUAAAAAAACAAACAUACAAAAUAAUGAGUAAAACCAUACAUUGAAAUCCUUAGCUUUUAGUAAUAAAGACAAGAAUUAACAAGCAAAAAAUUUUUUUUUUCUCUGCUCUCCAAGUUUGUCUGAACUUCUGCUAUCUCAUGUCUUUUUCUUUUAAGAUGUAAAUGAUUGUCAAUAUGUAUAUACCUCUGGUUUUCUUGGUUUUAGCAUCACUUCAAAUACAUCUUUCCAUAUUUCUUUGCUA